rnacentral:tmRNA from 21 species
GGGGGUGACACGGUUUCGACGGGGAUUGGAAGCGAAGGUGGCAUGCCGGGGACGCCAGUUGGCCUCGUUAAAAAACUGGCAUACAUACAAACGCCGAUACUGACGUUUCGUACGCACUGGCAGCUUAAUUGCUGCCUCGUCUUGAGUUCCUUCGCCUGCGCGGAGCUUAAAGACGUCAAUUGAGUGGGCUAGUUUCGGUGAGCGUUCGCGGUGCCGAAGCGAAAUUUAAGCGAACUCGCCUGAUACACAUCCUGUCGACGGGAGUUGUAUCCGGUUAAACUCAAAACAUCGACUACGCAUGUAGAAGCCUUAUGUGAAAGAUUUUCGGACGCGGGUUCGAUUCCCGCCACCUCCACCA